AUUGAACGCUGGCGGCAUGCCUUACACAUGCAAGUCGAACGGCAGCACGGGAGCAAUCCUGGUGGCGAGUGGCGAACGGGUGAGUAAUAUAUCGGAACGUGCCCAGUCGUGGGGGAUAACGUAGCGAAAGCUACGCUAAUACCGCAUACGAUCUAUGGAUGAAAGCGGGGGAUCGCAAGACCUCGCGCGAUUGGAGCGGCCGAUAUCAGAUUAGGUAGUUGGUGAGGUAAAGGCUCACCAAGCCGACGAUCUGUAGCUGGUCUGAGAGGACGACCAGCCAGACGGGGACUGAGACACGGCCCAGACUGCUACGGGAGGCAGCAGUGGGGAAUUUUGGACAAUGGGCGCAAGCCUGAUCCAGCAAUGCCGCGUGCAGGAUGAAGGCCUUCGGGUUGUAAACUGCUUUUGUACGGAACGAAACGGCGAGCUCUAAUACAGUUUGCUAAUGACGGUACCGUAAGAAUAAGCACCGGCUAACUACGUGCCAGCAGCCGCCGUAA
rnacentral:rRNA from 1 species